UCUGAGGGAACUCAACCUUGUCAUACGAUUUAAUUCAUUUACAUGAACUUAAAUCAUUUGAGAUUCAGUUAUAGACUUCCAGCAUCUAACUUCCGCUCAACAGUAACGAAUAAUUUGAGUUUAUGAUACAAAAAUUACAACAGAAAGACCUGGGUACCAUGGGUCCAAAGAGCAUCUCCUGCGGCGUUAAGACUCCAUAAGAAAGCAACAUACUGCAACCAUGUCACCACCAAAAUGAAAUUAAGAGAGCUGUUCCUUGGAUCUGUUGUCCCUUUUUCCCGGCGGCAGUGGUCUUGAGUAGAGUUAGUUGAGCCAGAAGAGACCAAAGCUGAAGAUGUAGGAUCACAGCUACAUCACCCUUACACUUCGAUGGGAAAAACUUCUGAAGAAAGCCCCAUAAACUCUUGGGCGAUGAGGAGAAAAUCUUUCAAUUGGAUAAUCUCAGCUUGUCAUGUUUGCCUUUCUGUUCUUGGAUGUUUGAGGACUUAGAAGCCAAAGCACGAAGCAAAGAUUGAGUGGCUACAAACUUCUCUCUGAGCAUGACAUUGUAGUCAUACAGACGUUGAAAAUUCUUCUCUAUAUCGGACAACUCAAUCUGAGAACCAGACUUGAAUUCUGCAUUGAAUAAGAAGCAAGAUUACAAAGAGCAACUCUAACAUAAAUACAUCAGUUAAGUCCCUAUCAACGGUUUUGGAGGAACACACCACUAAGGCAUAUGGUUUCAGUUCAUCAUAUUGAAAGAUUUGUGUUUAAUAGGCAGUUCUAAAUUGGAGCUUCAGAGCAUCUCCAAGCAAAUUACUUUACAAUGGAGUCCAACGCUGACAGUUUAACAUUUGUAUUUCUAGCUUUUACCAUUCAGCUGGCUGUUUUCAGUUACAAGAAGUCAUCUAUAUGUAUCAGUUAUCAUUUAACCACCCAACAAAAUAACUAUUAAAGUUCAUAGCCAGUUGACUUUAGAAAGAGAAACUAUUGGAGUUGUUAUGAGUGAGGACAAGCAAGCACAACUUCAUAAGACAGAGUAAACAAGGGAAAAGUAGUUCACAGUCAGAACCUUGAACAAAAUUUAUAAAAUUCAAAUGCCAAUGACCAUUGAAAGGCACAUUUUUAAUCA